AUACUCUGGUUUCUCUUCAGAUCAUAUAAAUCUUUCACCUUUUACUAAAGGCUGCUGUGGAGAGGAACAUUUAUGAGUAUUUGGUGAAUAUAAUAAUCAGUGCAUGUACUUGU